rnacentral:rRNA from 1 species
AUUGAACGCUGGCGGCAGGCCUAACACAUGCAAGUCGAGCGAGUGGCGGACGGGUGAGUAAUGUAUGGGGAUCUGCCCGAUAGAGGGGGAUAACUACUGGAAACGGUAGCUAAUACCGCAUACUAUCGGAUGAACCCAGAUGGGAUUAGCUAGUAGGUGGGGUAAAGGCUCACCUAGGCGACGAUCCCUAGCUGGUCUGAGAGGAUGAUCAGCCACACUGGGACUGAGAAACGGCCCAGAGUCCUACGUGAGGCAGCAGUGGGGAAUAUUGCACCAUGGGCGCAAGCCUGAUGCAGCCAUGCCGCGUGUAUGAAGAAGGCCUUAGGGUUGUAAAGUACUUUCAGCGGGGAGGCGUUACCCGCAGAAGAAGCACCGGCUAACUCCGUGCCAGCAGCCGCGGUAAUUC